rnacentral:rRNA from 1 species
CACGUAGGGGGCAAGCGUUGUCCGGAUUUAUUGGGCGUAAAGAGCUCGUAGGCGGCUUAGUAAGUCGGGUGUGAAACCUCCAGGCUCAACCUGGAGACGCCACCCGAUACUGCUGUGGCUAGAGUCCGGUAGGGGAGCGUGGAAUUCCUGGUGUAGCGGUGAAAUGCGCAGAUAUCAGGAGGAACACCAGUGGCGAAGGCGCCACUCUGGGCCGUAACUGACGCUGAGGAGCGAAAGCGUGGGUAGCAAACAGG